rnacentral:rRNA from 3 species
UGGGGAAUAUUGCACAAUGGGCGGAAGCCUGAUGCAGCGACGCCGCGUGGGGGAUGACGGCCUUCGGGUUGUAAACUCCUUUCACCAUCGACGAAGGGUUUCUGACGGUAGAUGGAGAAGAAGCACCGGCUAACUACGUGCCAGCAGCCGCGGUAAUACGUAGGGUGCGAGCGUUGUCCGGAAUUACUGGGCGUAAAGAGCUCGUAGGUGGUUUGUCGCGUCGUCUGUGAAAUUCCGGGGCUUAACUCCGGGCGUGCAGGCGAUACGGGCAUAACUUGAGUACUGUAGGGGAGACUGGAAUUCCUGGUGUAGCGGUGAAAUGCGCAGAUAUCAGGAGGAACACCGGUGGCGAAGGCGGGUCUCUGGGCAGUAACUGACGCUGAGGAGCGAAAGCAUGGGGAGCGAACAGG